GACGAACGCUGGCGGCGUGCCUAAUACAUGCAAGUAGAACGCAGUUGCGAACGGGUGAGUAACGCGUAGGUAACUGCCUCAUAGCGGGGGAUAACUAUUGGAAACGAUAGCUAAUACCGCAUACUGUGAGAUGGACCUGCGUUGUAUUAGCUAGUUGGUGAGGUAAAGGCUCACCAAGGCGACGAUACAUAGCCGACCUGAGAGGGUGGACCGCCAGCAUGGGACUGAGACCAGGCCCAGAAGACAUCGGCAGGCAGCAGUAGGGGAAGGUGGGCAAUGGGCGGAAGUCUGGCAGAGCAACGGGCGGGUAGUGAAGAAGGUUUUCGGAUCGUAAAACCCUGUUGGUAUAGUAGCGGUAACUAACCAGAAAGGGACGGCUAACUACGUGCCAGCAGCCGCGGUAAUAC
rnacentral:rRNA from 1 species